rnacentral:misc_RNA from 1 species
AGUCGUAACAAGGUUUCCGUAGGUGAACCUGCGGAAGGAUCAUUAAAAAGUUGUGGAAAUCGUGGUGACCUCUAUUGGUGAGCCGCGAUUCUCUCCUUUUUGUGAAAUGUUCUGAGGGAUUGCUCCAGAUCUCUCGACCUUUUAUUUUACAUAUUUGAUUGACUGUUGUUUAACAAAUUGAAAGUUUUGGAUCAGAAAUGAUUCAAGACGAUAAAAUUUCAAAACAACUUUAAGCAAUGGAUCACUUGGUUCUCGCAUCGAUGAAGAGCGUAGCAAAUUGCGAAAAGUAAUGCGAUCUGCAGCCUUUGCGAAUCAUCGAAUUCUCGAACGCACCUUGCACCCUUUGGUUCAUCCAUUGGGUACGUCUAGUUCAGUAUCUUUAUUAACCCCUAAAGGUUUAUUUUUUGAUAAAUCUUUGGAUUUGCGGUGCUGAUGGAUUUUCAUCCGUUCAAGCUACCCGAACAAUUUGUAUGUUGUUGACCCUUGAUAUUUCCUUGAGGGCUUGCAUUGGUAUCUAAUUUUUUACCAGUGUGCUUCGAGAUGAUCAAGUAUAUAAGGUCAAUCAACCACAAAUAAAUUUCAACUAUGGAUCUGAACUUAGAUGGGAUUACCCGCUGAACUUAAGCAUAUCAAUAAGCGGAGGA